AGAGGCUCCCCACUUUCCUCCCUGUUGUCUACACCACCAGCCAAAGGGAGCAGAGAGGUUCCUCUGCAAGAGUUUAAAGGGUCACAGCAAGGGAAGGGCCGUUCUUUUGCCAUUGUGCACCGUUGCUGACGUGACAGGUUGCUCCCCAGCAAUCUCCACAGGCUGUGAAAGGACUCAAAAGAAAAAGGCAGGGGCCGAGACCCUGGGGAGGCUGCUUCUGCUGCAGCACAAAGAACAAACAACGCAGUGGCAACAGGCCGCUGGGGAUGUCCCUGCUGCUGUCACGAUUGGAGUGUGCUGCUCCUUGGUUGAACUGCUACAGGUUAGAACCAGUUUUCUUCACAGGCUGGAUCCAGACCACAGGCCAUAGGUUUUUUGACCCCUGUUUUACCAGACCAACUGUAAGAUGGGCAUAGACACAGGCAACCUUUGGGGUAUGACAGUACCUUUCCUCAGGAUGCUGGGAAGGAACCAGGACUGAAAAAGGGGACUAGGAUGCCUAAAACCUUGCUUCUGUCCGUCCAAACCAUGCUGUUAGUGCCACACAAGACAUCACAAAAAAUCUUGCCUCCCCCAUGGUUCCUGGACCUUCACAACAACAACAUCACCUGCGUACUUAAAUCAUUUGGUUUCUUUCUUCUGUCACCUGUUUGGAAACUUCCUUUCCUUACUGGGACCUGCCAGAUUCUUUGUUGGCAAAGUACAUGGGAAAACAAAUAAUAGUAAGUAUCAGAACAGGCAUAAUGUUAGUAGUACUAACAUUACUUACUGAAAUUUGCUGAAUGAAAGAUGCAGGUCUCAUCCAUGCCUCUUCCUUCCAUUCCCUCCCCCCUCCCUCAAACUAUCCUGCAUGGACAUACAAGAAAUAAGCUCCUGGGGGGGGGGGGGGGGUUGUCUCAAAAACAGGGUGCAGUCCCACAAUUGAAGCCUGUACUACAAGGCUGUUUGCUUUCUUACCACAGUCCAAAAAACCAAGGUGUCACAGCCCACAUUUCCCAAGCAGUGCAGGCUGCUUACAAGGGCCUGCCAACUGCUCCAGGCAGGGUCACUGCCAGCAGCGGCUAGCCCAGCCCUGGGGGAGGCAGGGGGAGACCUGGGCAGUCUGGGGUUGCUGAACCCUCACCCAACUUUGACCUCUGACCCCCUGAACCUUCCUUCCCCCAGGCACUUGGCCAAGAAGCCAAGAAUGCCCCUGCCCCCAACCCUGGCCCUUUAACAAUGACAGUCAACAGACAAGCAGUGAAGGAAGGACAUGUAGCCUCCUCACCCCCAAUCACUGACCAAUGCAGUAAGACUCUACCAUGGGCCCUGCUUUUCUUUUUCGUGUCCUUGUGAUAAGCUACAUGCGAUUCUUGACAGAUUUUGUUGGAAUCUGACAGGCCACACUCUGAGCGCUUCCAUUGCAGCCUUCAACUCGCACUCUGGGCUGUCACCCAGGUAUCUUGGCCCCUCUGCCAUGCCACUUCCCCUGCUCAGAUGGCUCAGGUUUGGACAGGGGAUGUGAUGUCUCACAGGUAUCACCCUGUAAAGCUCAGUGGGGGGAGCAGAACAAUUUUGCUUCCCUUCAUGAGCGACAUUCCUCCAAAGCAUUCCUCUGACAGCUGCAGCUCACACAUGGCACACCCCAGCAACACACAGCUGCAAGUCUUCAUUGUAAACCCAUGACCACACAGGACUUCUGUGGGCGCCUCUGUGCAUCUCCUUAAACCAGUCCUCCAGCACAUAUAGGAGACAGGGUGGGUACCCAGGGGAAGCACCAGGGAACAGAAGCACUGGGACACAACAGCUCCUGAAAUGAGGAACAAGUAAAGAGGCAGGGAGGUUAAGAAGGUGGUGAUGGGAAAGGGGAAGGAAGGCUGCAGACAGAUUCCCCCCUGUGUAGGCUGAGGAUAUGGUCAGGGCCUGACAGACCACACUGACUAUUGCAGACGACGGACCUACCAGAAGCCUAACUUACAAAUGACACGUACUUAAGCUGGCAUACAAUGAAUAAGCCAUGAGCCUACACUUACAUCCCAAGGAAUGGCCAAAGAGAGUGGAAUAAGAAUCUGUUUCUCAAGACUUUAAUACCAGACAAGACCAAGAGCGAGUAGCUGCUUUCUGGAACGGUGGGAAACAGCGGCUAUGAGCAGCAACUGGCGUUUGGUUUUGUGACCCUGUUACAAGUUAAAAUAGGUCUAAAUGGCAGAGUUUAACAAACACAAGGCAAGGAGCAUUCCCAGGCAGGCAAGGAAAGAGAGGAGCAGUGUUCCUCCCUUCCAGAGUUGGAAUUUUCCCAGGGACACAGGCCCCAGCCAUCGACAUGUCCCAAGUGCACAGAAAAAUGGGUUCAGUCUCAUUCCCAAAGUUUCAGCAAAACAAGUCUGCGUGACACCCAUCGGACUAUCGGUUUGAAAAGCCCACGUAAAAAUUAGGUUUAAACAAAGGGAAACUACAAAGACCUUUGCAAAGUGGAGACAACCUGCUGUUAGCCUCUUCCUCCCUCCUGCAUCUCCCCAGCUGGUAGACUUGACAAUCUGUAUUGUGGUGUGACAAGUCACUAGGUGGGCAUAGCACAAAGGGUUUAUUCUUAUGCCUCGAGGUGUGAUCUAUAAAAGUGCAUAUUAUAGCCCUGUCUCCAGCCGCUUUAUCCAGUUUGGAGGGUUGUAAUCCUUUACCGGCUCAGAGGGACUGGAGCGUCACUGGGAAAUGUCAUUGUGUCUUCACUUUACAUACAAAAAGGGUAAUUGGCAGGGACCCAGGGUUUCCAUUUGCCAAGGAAAAAUGCAGUAAAACCCAGUUUGUCACCUUAAGGACCCCCCCCAAAUGACUCUGAAAACCAUGCUAAGCUUGGCCCUACUCACAAAAGUUAAAAUACAGAAUAAUAAUGCUAACUGCAUAAUGCAAGACGAUGCGAUUUCAUGGCUAGGCCAUCUAAGAAGGAAUUAUGAAGCAUUUCUUCCACCUUAUCUGGCUAUAUUCAGGAUGAUUUCACGCAGACUCUUAGUUGUCUGGUGUGUAACCGUAUGAAAUGUCUAUCCUUGAUUAAUUAGUAUGAUAAAUAUUUCUUUUGCAACUAACUCAUGUUUAUGUGCCGAAAGACGUUCUCCAUAUGUAAUAGAUGUCUCCUCCUGAUUUAGUACGUUUUUCCUAGCGGUUAAUCAGUUUUUCAGUAUGUUCCAAACUGAAUAACCUCUUGUUACUGAAGAAGGUAACUCGUUCAAAUUAGAAAUUUCUGAUCACCAGUAAUCAGCAGGUUUUUCCUGUCAAUUACUGUUUGGGACUCUGUCUUGAUUUACACAUGCUAAACUAAGGGUAUAAAAAAAAGCAGUAAAGCAGCACACGCGCGUUUCAGGAGUGAAAAACCUCUCUGACACGGCUUGCUGAUGCGCCCAACUUACUCAAGAAGUUGAAGAGAAACAGACCGCCUGUUUGGCAAGAAAUCAUCACCUUAUAGCUAAUUACUGGACUUUGAUUUGGUUUGGAAUCACUUGACUUGAUCUUAAAUACUUGUAGUAAAUAAAGCCUUUCUGUCACUCAUCGAA